UACGUAGGGUGCGAGCGUUGUCCGGAAUUAUUGGGCGUAAAGAGCUUGUAGGCGGUUUGUCGCGUCUGCUGUGAAAAUCCGGGGCUCAACCCCGGACUUGCAGUGGGUACGGGCAGACUAGAGUGUGGUAGGGGAGACUGGAAUUCCUGGUGUAGCGGUGAAAUGCGCAGAUAUCAGGAGGAACACCGAUGGCGAAGGCAGGUCUCUGGGCUACUACUGACGCUGAGAAGCGAAAGCAUGGGGAGCGAACAGG
rnacentral:rRNA from 1 species